rnacentral:rRNA from 1 species
UACGAAGGGGGCUAGCGUUGCUCGGAAUUACUGGGCGUAAAGCGCGUGUAGGCGGCCCUGCAAGUCGGAUGUGAAAUCCCACGGCUCAACCGUGGAAGUGCAUUCGAAACUGCAGGGCUAGAGUCCUGGAGAGGAAGGUGGAAUGCUUGGUGUAGAGGUGAAAUUCGUAGAUAUCAAGCGGAACACCGGUGGCGAAGGCGGCCUUCUGGACAGUGACUGACGCUGAGACGCGAAAGCGUGGGGAGCAAACAGG